rnacentral:tRNA from 1 species
GCCCUCGUAGCUCAACUGGAUAGAGCAGUUCCGUCCUAAGGAAAAGAUUGGAGGUUCAACUCCUCUCGAGGGCACCA